ACUUCUUGAAACUGUAAUUUAAUCAAACAUACUUGUUUAGACUAAUUGUAAUUUACUCUAAACUAUAUUUAUAGUAAUUUUAUCAUUUACUCAUUUUCAUUUUAGAAAACCCUAGAAAUCCCGUUCAAGUAUCCUUGCUUGACAAUUGUCUCUUUUAUCAUAUACUAAAAACAUAUAAGUUGUAGAAUUGUGGAUAUGAUUAUUUAUUGUGAUCAUAUUCAAGUUUUCAACCUAUAUGUUUUGUAUAUGAUUGGUAGAAUUGUAUGCAAAUGAUGCUUGAAUUGUCCGUUUGGACAGUUUGGAAAUACAUAAUAUCUAUGAAAUCACACGCCUAUGCUUUAGCAUAUUGAUAAGUUUUGACAGUGAUUCCCCUUGUUCUCUGGGUGCAUAUUUGGAGAAGGUGACAUAUUGUUAGCAACUUAGUUAAGCUAACUAAUAGUAUGUUUAUACCUUAGCCAAUUCGUGUACUUGGAGAACUAUGGGGAAAUGCUGCCGAAAUUUUAUCAAAAUGAAACUAAGCAUGUUAGUGAUUGAUUCAUAGGGAUUAUGUAUUUCCAAAUGGGAUAGGAACCACUACCAAAUAUAGGAAUUUGAGAUGAUCAAAAGCAUAUCACAUUCAUUAUAAGUUGAUAUGAAGAUUCAUUGUUAUGUGAUUGAAGGGUUUAAUUUGCGGAAGUACGAGGAAAAUGGCAAUAGAUAAGAGUUGGAUGCAGAAGUCAAGAGUAAGUAGUGAAUAUCAUAAAGGUGUUUUGGAAUUCUUAGACUUUGCCUUUAGCAAUGCACCUGGAAAAGAAAUGCUCCCAUGUCCUUGCAUUCGUUGCAAUAAUUGUCUUAUGCAGAAGCGAGAAAUCAUGUAUGAUCAUUUGUUGGACAAUGGGAUAGCUAGAAAUUAUGUGCGGUGGUUGAUGCAUGGGGAAUAUGAGUUUUGCGAACCUACAAAUACUAGCACUAAUGAGUCUAAUAUGCAUGAUGAGAUGCAAGAAAUGUUAAAUGAUGCAUUUAGAAUGCCAAUGCCAAAUGAGGAAUCUGAAAGAAGUCCACAUGUGCACGGGGAGUUUGAAAAACCAAAUGAGGAUGCAAACAAAUUUUAUAAUUUGUUAAGAGAAGCAGAGCAGGAACUAUAUCCAGGGUGUAAAAAAUUCACAAAAUUGUCUUUUAUCAUAAGAUUAUUUCAUAUGAAGUGUCUUAAUGGAUGGAGCAAUAAGUCCUUUACAAUGUUGCUUGAAUUGUUGAAGGAGGCAUUUCCUGAGGGUGAGACAUUGCCAAGCAACUAUUAUGAAGCUAAAAAAAUACUUCGUGACCUUGGCCUUCAUUAUAUCAAGAUUGAUGCAUGCCCCUCAGAUUGCAUGUUGUAUUCAAAAGAGCAUGCAAAUGCAAAUGAGUGUGUUGUUUGUGGUGUCUCUAGAUGGAAAUCAAGUGAUGAUCAUUCUACAGAUGAGUUCACUAAUUCAGCAAAGAAAAAGAAAAUUCCUGCUAAGGUCUUACGUUUUUUUCCCUUAAAACCAAGGCUUCAAAGGUUAUAUAUGUCAGCUAAGACAACUUCUCACAUGAAAUGGCAUGUUGAUGGUCGCAUGGAAGAUGAGAUGAUGAGGCAUCCAGCAGACUCUUUGGCUUGGAAAAACUUCGAUAACGUACACCCUUCAUUUGCAUUAGAACCUCGAAAUGUUAGGCUCGGUUUAGCAAGUGAUGGGUUCAAUCCUUUUGGGAAUAUGUCAAUUUCAUACAGUAUGUGGCCUGUGGUUCUUAUUCCAUAUAACUUACCACCAUGGAUGUGUAUGAAACAAACAUUCUUCAUGUUGUCACUACUUAUUCCUGGUCCAACUACACCUGGGAAUGACAUUGACAUAUACUUACAACCAUUGAUAGAUGAGUUGAAUGACUUAUGGGACGUUGGAGUUGAAACAUAUGACGCUUCAACAAAACAAAAUUUUUGUAUGCGUGCAGCUAUAUUGUGGACUAUCAAUGAUUUUCCUGCAUAUGCAAAUCUUUCAGGUUGGAGUACUAAAGGGAAAUUUGCUUGUCCUAUUUGUAAUAAGGAUUGUUCUUCAUUUCGAUUACAAAACGGACGGAAAUGGUGUUACAUGGGUCAUCGUCGAUUUUUGCCGAUUGAUCAUAGAUUUCGACGUGAUAAAAAGUCCUUUGAUGGAAAUGAAGAGCAUAGAGCAGCACCUAAACAAUUGUCUGGGGAAGAUAUUCUACAUCAAUUAGAUGGAAUGGAACAUAUUACUUUAGGGAAGACAUCAAAAAAUAAGGUGUCAGCAAAAAGAAAAAGAGGACAUGUUGAACUUGAGCAUAAUUGGAAAAAAAAAAAGCAUUUUUUUCCAAUUGCCAUAUUGGAAAACCCUCAUUUUGCGUCAUAAUUUGGAUGUAAUGCAUAUUGAAAAGAAUAUAUGUGACAGUAUAGUUGGCACCUUGUUGACUAUCGAUGGUAAAUCGAAGGAUAACUUCAAUAGUCGUCUUGACUUGCAAGUUAUGGGUAUCAGAGAUCAACUUCACCCCAUACAAAGAGGGAAUAGAGUUAUAUUGCCUGCUGCAUGCUAUUCACUAACUUCAAAUGAAAAAAAGGAAUUCUGUAAAUUUUUGAAAGAAGUAAAGGUUCCAGAUGGUUAUGCUUCUAACAUCUCUCGGUGUGUACAAGUGAAUGAAAGAAAGAUAUUUGGGUUGAAGUCUCAUGAUUGUCAUGUUCUCAUGCAACAACUUCUUCCACUUGCAAUUCGAGGAGUUCUACAUAAGAAUGUUUGUGCUGUUAUAGUUGAACUAUGUAGUUUCUUCAAACAGUUGUGUUCUAAAGUGUUAAAGACUGAUCAAUUAGAGCACCUUGAGAAUGACAUAAUAGUCACACUUUGAAAAUUAGAAAGAAUAUUUCCUCCAUCAUUCUUUGAUGUUAUGGUGCAUUUACCUAUUCAUCUUGCAAGUGAGGCAAAGGUCGCUGGACCAGUGCAAUAUCGAUGGAUGUAUCCUAUCGAGCGGUAUUUACGUACAUUAAAGUCUUAUGUCCGUAAUAAGAGUCGUCCAGAAGGUUCUAUUGCAGAGGGCUACAUAGCAGAAGAAUGUACAACCUUUUGUUCAAGAUAUUUGCAUGAUGUUGAAACAAAGCAUGACCAUGAAGAAAGAAAUUAUGUCAUUGAAAAUAACAUAACAAAUGGUGGAGGGUUAACCAUUUUCAAAUGCAUGGGACGUACAAUAGGAAAGUCAACAUCUCGUGUUCUUAGCACAGAAGAAUGGUCCCAAGCAUAUUUAUAUGUGUUGACUAAUUGUGAGGAAGUGACGUCAUUUAUUGAAGAGCAUAAGCAAUCUAUAAGGGUUAAGCCUCGUAUUCGUGCACGAGAUGUAGAUUUGAUUCACACAAGAGAAUUCAUUAGUUGGUUUGAAGAACGUAUUAUACAAAUGCGACAUGAAGGUCCAAUUUCUGAACACAUACUAUCAUUGUCUCGUGGACCAAGUACAUCAGUUAUAUGUUAUAGAGGAUACAUCAUUAAUGGGUUCAGAUUUCACACAAGAGAACGAGAAAAAGGAAAAAAAACUCAAAAUAGUGGAGUUGUUGUGACCGCAGAGGUAUCAAGCUUUGCAAGUGCAAGAGAUAAGAACCCAAUUCCUGGUCAUGUUUCUUACUAUGGUGUGCUAACUGAUGUAAUUGAGUUACAUUACCUUGGUGGAAAUAGAGUUAUUUUAUUCAAGUGUGACUGGUGGGAUGUAAUCAAUAGUGGAAGGGGAAUAAAGAAGGAUGAAUAUGGGUUCACGUGUUUGAAUUUUGAACGUACCAUAUGCACAGAUGAACCAUUUGUGCUUGCAUCUCAAGCAAAACAAGUCUUCUAUGUUCAAAAUUCAAAUGAGGAAAAUUGGCACACCGUUGUAGAGAUACAAACUCGAGGGGUUUAUGAUAUGAAUCAGAAAGUAUCUACUAAUGAUCCAGAGCCAUAUCAACAGCUUAUAACACUUCAUAAUCAACGUGAUGUGCAUGAGUUGGUCGAGAAUGAUUUAAUCAAUUGGGAUAGAAAUGAUAUUGCAGGAGAAACUAUCCAAACGGAUGUUCUACUAUCACGACAAGAAAACAUUGUUGAAAGAGAUAAUGAAUUCAUUCAUGAUGAUGAUAUAGAUGAUGUGUAGCUAAUAAUAUUGGAAAUGUCACAUCGAAGAGGAAGAGUACAAAUAGUGUCUCCAGAAGAUGAGUUGAACAAUCUACAACAACUCUUAGACAUACAACCUGCUGCAACUACUACUCCUAGUAGUUCUGAUCCUUCUGAUUCUUCAGAUCCUUCUGUUGCUGGUUCAUCUUCUAGCAAAAAGAGGACACGUGGCCCAACACGUAACUUAGAUUUACUUAGUAUGAAACCCGGGGAAAAAAAAACUACACGAUUCAAUACGAGAGGGCAAGUUGUUUAUGAUGGAAAAGGGGAAAGAUUAUCAAGCUAUAUGGGAACAUUGGUGCGAUCUCAACACAAUGUACCCAUCCAAGUUCAAGAUUGGAAUCAUGUUAGUGAAGAUGUGAAGGAAAAGAUUUGGGCCUUAGUAUUGGAAAAAUAUGAACUAGAAGAAACAUGUAAGAGCUACAUUCUUCAAUGUUGUGGAAAUUUGUUUAGAAGCUAUAGAAAUAAAAUGAAGGCCAAGUAUUAUAACCCUUAUAAUACAGAUGAGGAGAGAUUGUGCCAUCGACCUCCACACUUAUCGGAUGAUGAUUGGAGGUGGCUCAUCCACUUUUGGAGUACACCUGAGGCCAAGGAUAUCUCAGAAAAAAAACAAGGCAAAUAGGGCAAAGCAAGUGAUAAAGCAUACAUCGGGAUCAAAAAGUUAUGCUCAAAUUCGAUAUGAACAGGCACAAAAGAAAGAGGAUCGAAGUGAGCCUAAUAGAAUUGAGAUGUUUGCCUUGACA